rnacentral:tRNA from 1 species
GGCCCGUUGGUCAAGCGGUUAAGACAUCGCCCUUUCACGGCGGUAACACGGGUUCGAAUCCCGUACGGGUCACCA